UACGUAGGGUGCAAGCGUUGUCCGGAAUUAUUGGGCGUAAAGAGCUCGUAGGCGGUCUGUUGCGUCGCUGUGAAAACCCGGGGCUCAACUCCGGGCCUGCAGCCGAUACGGGCAGACUAGAGUUCGGCAGGGGAGACUGGAAUUCCUGGUGUAGCGGUGGAAAUGCGCAGAUAUCAGGAGGAACACCGGGUGGGCGAAGG
rnacentral:rRNA from 1 species